GCAUAUCAAUAAGCGGAGGGAAAAGAAACUAACAAGGAUUCCCCUAGUAACUGCGAGUGAAGCGGGAAAAGCUCAAAUUUAAAAUCUGGCGGCCUUCUGGUCGUCCGAGUUGUAGUCUGGAGAAGCGUUUUCCGCGCUGGCCCGUGUACAAGUUUCCUGGAACGGAGCGUCAUAGAGGGUGAGAAUCCCGUCUUUGACACGGACCCCAGUGCUUUGUGAUGCGCUCUCAAAGAGUCGAGUUGUUUGGGAAUGCAGCUCAAAAUGGGUGGUGAAUUCCAUCUAAAGCUAAAUAUUGGCGAGAGACCGAUAGCGAACAAGUACCGUGAGGGAAAGAUGAAAAGCACUUUGGAAAGAGAGUUAAACAGUACGUGAAAUUGUUGAAAGGGAAACGCUUGAAGUCAGUCGCGUUGGCCGGGACUCAGCCUUUUGGUGUAUUUUCCGGUCGACGGGCCAGCAUCAGUUUUGACCGCGAGAUAAGGGCGGAGGGAAUGUGGCUCUCUCGGGAGUGUUAUAGCCCUUCGUCGCAUGUCGCGGUUGGGACUGAGGAUCGCAGCACGCCUUUAUGGCCGGGGUUCGCCCACGUACGUGCUUAGGAUGCUGGCGUAAUGGCUUUAAACGACCCGUCUUGAAACACGGACCAAGGAGUCUAACAUGCCUGCGAGUGUUCGGGUGGAAAACCCGUGCGCGUAAUUAAAGUGAAAGUUGGGAUCCCUGUCGUGGGGUGCACCGACGCCCGGACCAGACCUUUUGUGACGGAUCUGCGGUAGAGCAUGUAUGUUGGGACCCGAAAGAUGGUGAACUAUGCCUGAAUAGGGUGAAGCCAGAGGAAACUCUGGUGGAGGCUCGUAGCGAUUCUGACGUGCAAAUCGAUCGUCAAAUUUGGGUAUAGGGGGCGAAAGACUAAUCGAACCAUCUAGUAGCUGGUUCUGCGAG
rnacentral:rRNA from 1 species